GCCCGUUUAGCUCAGUCGGUAGAGCGCAAGACUCUUAACCUUGUGGUCUUGGGCUUAAGCACCAGGGUGGGCG
rnacentral:tRNA from 1 species